rnacentral:tRNA from 2 species
GCCCCCAUAGCUCAAUUGGUAGAGCAGAAAGCUCUUAACUUUAAGGUUCCAGGUCCGAGUCCUGGUGGGGGCACUA